rnacentral:tRNA from 1 species
ACUUUUUUACAAAAAAAAGUAAGGUGGAAUUUCCUACCAGUUUUCUUUUUUAUUG